rfam:Pteropus alecto contig109558, whole genome shotgun sequence.
GUCUACAGCCAUGCCACCCUGAACGAGCCCAAUCCCAUCUGAUCUCAGAAGCUAAGCAGGGUCAGGCCUGGUUAGUACUUGGAUGGGAGAGCACCUAGGAAGACCAGGUGCUGUCGGCA